AAGAGAGGUCGGGGGACAAAAAGAACUGCUAAUUCUUUCUAUCCGGGGUUCAAAUCCCUGGCUCACUUA
rnacentral:tRNA from 2 species